AAACACUUACAGACCAUGGCCAUCU
rnacentral:piRNA from 1 species